UAGAGAAUAUUAGUAAUGGGCGAAAGCCUGAACUAGCAACGCCGCGUGUGCGAAGAAGGCCUUCGGGUUGUAAAGCACUUUUUGAGAGGAUGAGGAAGGACGGUACUCUCAGAAUAAGUCUCGGCUAACUACGUGCCAGCAGCCGCGGUAACACGUAGGAGGCGAACGUUAUCCGGAUUUACUGGGCGUAAAGCGCGUGUAGGUGGUUUGGUAAGUAGGGCGUGAAAGCUCCUGGCUCAACUGGGAGAGGCCGUUCUAAACUGCCGAACUAGAGGAUGGUAGAGGGAGGUGGAAUUCCGGGUGUAGCGGUGGAAUGCGCAGAUAUCCGGAGGAACACCAGUGGCGAAAGCGGCCUCCUGGACCAUUCCUGACACUCAGACGCGAAAGCUAGGGUAGCAAAC
rnacentral:rRNA from 1 species